rnacentral:rRNA from 1 species
AUGCCUACGGGGCGCAGCAGUGGGGAAUAUUGCACAAUGGGGGAAACCCUGAUGCAGCAACGCCGCGUGAGUGAAGAAGUAUUUCGGUAUGUAAAGCUCUAUCAGCAGGGAAGAAAAUGACAGUACCUGACUAAGAAGCCCCGGCUAACUACGUGCCAGCAGCCGCGGUAAUACGUAGGGGGCAAGCGUUAUCCGGAUUUACUGGGUGUAAAGGGAGCGUAGACGGCUGCGCAAGUCAGAAGUGAAAGCCCGGGGCUCAACCGCGGGACUGCACUGGAAACUGCCGGGCUGGAGUGUCGGAGGGG